rnacentral:rRNA from 1 species
AUUGAACGCUGGCGGCAUGCCUUACACAUGCAAGUCGAACGGCAGCACGGGUGCUUGCACCUGGUGGCGAGUGGCGCACGGGUGAGUAAUACAUCGGAACAUGUCCUGUAGUGGGGGAUAGCCCGGCGAAAGCCGGAUUAAUACCGCAUACGAUCUACGGAUGCAAGCGGGGGACCUUCGGGCCUCGCGCUAUAGGGUUGGUCGAUGGCUGAUUAGCUAGUUGGUGGGGUAAAGGCCUACCAAGGCGACGAUCAGUAGCUGGUCUGAGAGGACGACCAGCCACACUGGGACUGAGACACGGCCCAGACUCCUACGGGAGGCAGCAGUGGGGAAUUUUGGACAAUGGGCGAAAGCCUGAUCCAGCAAUGCCGCGUGUGUGAAGAAGGCCUUCGGGUUGUAAAGCACUUUUGUCCGGAAAGAAAACCUUGGCCCUAAUACGGGCGGGGGAUGACGGUACCGGAAGAAUAAGCACCGGCUAACUACGUG